CACUCGAGUGCGUAGGGGAGAUUGGAGUUCCUGGUGUAGCGGUGGAAUGCGCAGAUAUCAGGAGGAACACCGAUGGCGAAGGCAGAUCUCUGGGCCGUAACUGACGCUGAGGAGCGAAAGCGUGGGGAGCGAACAGGAUUAGAUACCCUGGUAGUCCACGCCGUAAACGGUGGGAACUAGAUGUGGGGUCCGUUCCACGGAUUCCGUGUCGCAGCUAACGCAUUAAGUUCCCCCGCCUGGGGAGUACGGCCGCAAGGCUAAAACUCAAAGGAAUUGACGGGGGCCCGCACAAGCGGCGGAGCAUGCGGAUUAAUUCGAUGCAACGCGAAGAACCUUACCAAGGCUUGACAUAUAGAGGAAAAGUGCAGAGAUGCACUCCCCGCAAGGUCUCUAUACAGGUGGUGCAUGGUUGUCGUCAGCUCGUGUCGUGAGAUGUUGGGUUAAGUCCCGCAACGAGCGCAACCCUCGUCCUAUGUUGCCAGCACGUAAAGGUGGGAACUCAUGGGAGACUGCCGGGGUCAACUCGGAGGAAGGUGGGGAUGACGUCAAAUCAUCAUGCCCCUUAUGUCUUGGGCUUCACGCAUGCUACAAUGGCCGGUACAGAGGGCUGCAAUACCGCAAGGUGGAGCGAAUCCCAGAAAGCCGGUCUCAGUUCGGAUUGAGGUCUGCAACUCGACCUCAUGAAGUCGGAGUCGCUAGUAAUCGCGAAUCAGCAACGUCGCGGUGAAUACGUUCCCGGGCCUUGUACACACCGCCCGUCAAGUCAUGAAAGUCGGUAACACCCGAAGCCGGUGGCCCAACCUUUUGGAGGGAGCCGUCGAAGGUGGGAUCGGUGAUUAGGACUAAGUCGUAACAAGGU
rnacentral:rRNA from 1 species